rnacentral:tRNA from 4 species
GCCCUCGUGGUGAAAUGGAUAUCACACGAGUCUUCGGAACUCGGUUUGGGGGUUCGAAUCCCUCCGAGGGCACCA